rnacentral:tRNA from 1 species
GGAGGGGUAAAGGGUCCGGUGGCCCUGCUGGUCUUCAAAACCGGUUGGCCGUCGCUUUGCGAGGGCUGGAGGGUUCGACUCCCUCACCCUUCCGCCA